rnacentral:rRNA from 1 species
AACGAACGCUGGCGGCAUGCCUAACACAUGCAAGUCGAACGAGACCUUCGGGUCUAGUGGCGAACGGGUGCGUACCGCGUGGGAACCUGCCCUUAGGUUCGGAAUAACUCCCCGAAAGGGGUGCUAAUACCGGAAAAUGUCUUCGGACCAAAGAUUUAUCGCCUUUGGAUGGGCCCGCGUUGGAUUAGCUAGUUGGUAGGGUAAAAGCCUACCAAGGCGACGAUCCAUAGCUGGUCUGAGAGGAUGAUCAGCCACACUGGGACUGAGACACGGCCCAGACUCCUACGGGAGGCAGCAGUGGGGAAUAUUGGACAAUGGGCGAAAGCCUGAUCCAGCAAUGCCGCGUGAGUGAUGAAGGCCUUAGGGUUGUAAAGCUCUUUUACCCGGGAUGAUAAUGACAGUACCGGGAGAAUAAGCUCCGGCUAACUCCGUG